rnacentral:rRNA from 1 species
GAUGAACGCUGGCGGCGUGCCUAAUACAUGCAAGUCGAGCGAACAGAUCAGGAGCUUUCUCCUCUGACGUUAGCGGCGGACGGGUGAGUAACACGUGGUCAACCUACCUCUAAGACUGUGAUAACUUCGGGAAACCGGAGCUACUACCGGAUAAUAUAUUGAACCUAAAGGUUCAAUAGUGAAAGUCGCUUUUGCUUUCGCUAAUAGCUGACUCCGCCCCGCAUUAGUUAGUGGUUGAGGUAACGGCUUACCAAGGCGGCGAUGCGUAGCCGACCUGAGAGGGUGAUCGGGCAGAUGGGAAGUGAGGCAGGGUCCAGACACCUGCGGUAGGCAGCGGUAGGGAAUCUUACGCAAUGGGGGAGAGCCUGACGGAGCAACACCGCGUGAGUGAUGAAGGUCUUAGGAUGGUAAAAUUAUGUUAUUCGGAGAGAACAAAUGUGUAAGUAACUAUGCACGUAUUGACGGUACCUGAUGAGAAAGCCACGGCUAACUACGUG